rnacentral:rRNA from 1 species
GAUGAACGCUGGCGGCGUGCCUAAUACAUGCAAGUCGAGCGAACAGACGAGGAGCUUGCUCCUCUGACGUUAGCGGCGGACGGGUGAGUAACACGUGGCUAACCUACCUAUAAGACUGGGAUCACUUCGGGAACCCUGAGCUAAUACCGGAUAAUAUAUUGAACCGCAUGGUUCAAUAGUGAAAGACGGUUUUGCUGUCCCUUAUAGAUGGAUCCGCGGCGCAUUAGCUAGUUGGUAAGGUAACGGCUUACCAAGGCGACGAUGCGUAGCCGACCUGAGAGGGUGAUCGGCCACACUGGAACUGAGACACGGUCCAGACUCCUACGGGAGGCAGCAGUAGGGAAUCUUCCGCAAUGGGCGAAAGCCUGACGGAGCAACGCCGCGUGUGUGAUGAAGGUCUUCGGAUCGUAAAACUCUGUUAUUAGGGAAGAACAAAUGUGUAAGUAACUAUGCACGUCUUGACGGUACCUAAUCAGAAAGCCACGGCUAACUACGUG